UACGUAGGGUGCAAGCGUUAAUCGGAAUUACUGGGCGUAAAGCGUGCGCAGGUGGUUUUGUAAGUCUGACGUGAAAUCCCCGGGCUCAACCUGGGAAUUGCGUUGGAGACUGCAAGGCUAGAAUCUGGCAGAGGGGGGUAGAAUUCCACGUGUAGCAGUGAAAUGCGUAGAGAUGUGGGGGAACACCGAUGGCGAAGGCAGCCCCCUGGGUCAAGAUUGACGCUCAUGCACGAAAGCGUGGGGAGCAAACAGG
rnacentral:rRNA from 1 species